GAGAGAGAGAGAGAGAAAGAAAAGAGGGAAAUGGUAGAUUCAAGCGAUUCUGUCUCCGUUGACAUGGAGACUCUCUCUCUUGGUGGAAAGGAGUUCCUUGUCAAAACUUGCCAUGGUUGUGUAUCUGUUUCUGUAUAUGGAGACCAGGACAAGCCAGCACUCAUUACUUAUCCUGAUUUAGCUCUAAAUCAUAUAUCAUGUUUUCAAGGAUUAUUUUUUUGUCCGGAAGCAUGUUCUUUGCUCCUCCACAACUUUUGCAUUUACCACAUUAGUCCUCCUGGGCAUGAGUUAGGAGCUGCGACAAGUAGCCCUGAUGACCCUGUGCUUUCCGUUGAUGACUUGGCAGACCAAAUUGCUGAGAUUCUAAACUAUUUUGGACUUGGGUCAGUGAUGUGUAUGGGUGUCACAGCUGGAGCUUACAUUCUUACUCUAUUUGCUAUGAAAUAUAGGCAACGUGUUCUUGGUUUGAUACUUAUUUCUCCCCUGUGCCAAGCACCCUCAUGGACAGAGUGGUUGUGUAAUAAGGUGAUUUGUAACUUACUGUACUACUAUGGCAUGUGUGGAGUGGUGAAAGAGUUGUUACUGAAGCGGUAUUUCAGCAAGCAGGAAGCUCGUGGUAGUGCUCAAGUACCAGAAUCAGAUAUUGUCCAAGCCUGCAGAAGAUUGCUGGAUGAAAGGCAGAGUUUAAAUGUUUGGCGGUUUCUUGAAGCAUUAAAUGGGAGACCGGACAUUAGUGAAGGACUGAGAAAGCUACAUUGUCGUUC
rnacentral:misc_RNA from 1 species